UAGGAGUUGCUGCUCCUUUUCUUUCCCUUUGUUGUUGUUUAGUUGCAUUUCGAGGGCGGGACCGCUGCUGAAAUGAACAAGGCGCGGUCAGAGCCCCCUUCACACGUGCAGACAAAGGGAUCCAGCAGCACAGCCAAAAACAUUCCGCUAACUUAGUAUCUGUCAGUUUGGUGAAGUAGCAAAAAGCAUGCGAAUGUUCCGUACAAAUGGCUCGGACGUGAUGCAGGACGCCGCACCCGGGCUUGGCUGUCACUAAAUAGAAAGAAGUUUGCAGACUCGUGGGGUUGGAAAACUUGCGGAAAGCAGGAGUUGCUGCGCCACAGUUCUGGCAAAGUUGAGGACAAAGCGGAGAGGAGAGUCCCUUUGUUCUGCAACGAGCUUUGAAAGGGAGAUCAGGAGACCUCGGCCAUCCUCACGGAAACUCCAGCAACUUGUACAGGGUUCGGAGCAGGGUAACCGCCCUUCUCAUUUUUGGUGGUCUAUCACGUUUCAAAAAGUGGAUAUCCCACUCAUUCUCCGCAGGAACAUACUAUAAACUUGACGGAUUUAUGGAAAGUGAUGCCUAUUUUAUGACCUGCUUGCUACGUAUACGCAGGACAUGGAUGGAUUCAAAGCGGUCUUCUCACUGGUCACAAGAAACAGGAAUACAAUUUAUGGAAACGCCGGAUGUUCCAUUGGAUUACAGCCUCUUCCUUUUUAAGUCUGAACGUGUUGAUAAUAAUCAAGCACUGGGAUGUUGAUUUUCUGCUUUGGAUCGUUUACUUGUUCACAUUAGGUCGGAAUUGAAGACUUUGCAAUGAUACUGGGGGACUAUGGAAACCACAAGAAACCAUGGGUUCGGCAAGCAGUUAAAUGGACUAUGCAAUUGUUGCGACUCCUUUGAGACAGUUAGAGCAACAUUUACACAUCACAGGAUAUCUGAACCUUCACGGAAGCAGUAUAUUUAUUUGUGAACAGACUUGUCUUCAAGAUAAUGCUGCAUGCCUCAAGACUAGCAAAGUUCUGCAAUGACUUCAGGAAUGUAGCAGUGAAUUAAUAGUAAUGGAGUGGCUUCUCUUCUCAUCAGAUCUUAAUUCAAUCAAGCAUAUGUAGGAUGACAUGGAAUGGUGUAUUCAGUAGAGAUCCCACCAGCAAGUAAUUUCCUCAGGUUUUGGAACAAACUGCAGUCAACAUGGGCCACCGUCUCCAAGUUAAACUUUUGAAACUUUGUGAAAGCAAAUGAAGGUUUACUCACCACUAGAAAGAGUGAGGAAGAAAAUAAUUUAGAAAGGGUCCAGAAAAUGAGCUGCGGUCAAGAAAACAGGCAAAAAUUAUAAAAUGAGUGACGCAGGACAAACCUAGAAGACGACUCUAUGAACAACAACCUUCCAUUGGGACCACACACAAGAACUUCUGUCACCUGAAAGUGGACGUUCACUUAUGAACCUGAACUAUCAUGAGAGAGUCCUUACUGAGUCCAACUCCAGGAACUGACCUUAUUGAAUGUCGACUGUUUUUCUUUCCUCUUGACCCUUUUGGCUGCCAUUUCACAUUUUUGCCAUAUUAAACAGGGUUUCUCAGCUGGGAACUCUAACUCUU